rnacentral:rRNA from 1 species
GACGAACGCUGGCGGCGUGCCUAAUACAUGCAAGUAGAACGCUGAAGGAGGAGCUUGCUUCUCUGGAUGAGUUGCGAACGGGUGAGUAACGCGUAGGUAACCUGCCUGGUAUCGGGGGAUAACUAUUGGAAACGAUAGCUAAUACCGCAUAAUAGUAGAUGUUGCAUGACAUUUGCUUAAAAGGUGCACUUUCAUCACUACCAGAUGGACCUGCGUUGUAUUAGCUAGUUGGUGAGGUAACGGCUCACCAAGGCAACGAUACAUAGCCGACCUGAGAGGGUGAUCGGCCACACUGGGACUGGGACACGGCCCAGACUCCUACGGGAGGCAGCAGUAGGGAAUCUUCGGCAAUGGACGGAAGUCUGACCGAGCAACGCCGCGUGAGUGAAGAAGGUUUUCGGAUCGUAAAGCUCUGUUGUAAGAGAAGAACGAGUGUGAGAGUGGAAAGUUCACACUGUGACGGUAUCUUACCAGAAAGGGACGGCUAACUACGUG